rnacentral:rRNA from 1 species
ACAGUGGACGCGAGCAUCUUUGUUAGUAAGUGUUUAAGAGCGUACGGUGGAUGCCUUGGCACCAGGAGCCGAUGAAGGACGUAGGAGGCUGCGAUAAGCCUCGGGGAGCUGUCAACCGAGCUGAGAUCCGAGGAUUUCCGAAUGGGGAAACCCAGCACGAGUGAUGUCGUGUUACCCGCAUCUGAAUAUAUAGGGUGUGUGGAGGGAACGUGGGGAAGUGAAACAUCUCAGUACCCACAGGAAGAGAAAACAAUAGUGAUUCCGUGAGUAGUGGCGAGCGAAAGCGGAAGAGGCUAAACCAUGCACGUGUGAUACCCGGCAGGGGUUGCGUGUGUGGGGUAGUGGGGCUCACUUUCCUAUAUCUGCCGAUGUAGGCGGGAGUCAGAAACCGUUGUGUUAGUCGAAGUGGUCUGGAACGGCCUGUCGUAGAGGGUGAGAAUCCCGUAGACGAAAACUCAGCGGCUCUUGUAGUGAGUACCCGAGUAGCAGCGGGCCCGUGAAAUCUGCUGUGAAUCUGCCGGGACCACCCGGUAAGCCUGAAUACUCCCUGGUGACCGAUAGCGGACUAGUACCGUGAGGGAAAGGUGAAAAGUACCCCGGGAGGGGAGUGAAAUAGUACCUGAAACCGUACGCUUACAAUCCGUCAAAGCCUGUGCAUCCUUUAGUGGGUGGUGGGUGAUGGCGUGCCUUUUGAAGAAUGAGCCUGCGAGUUAGUGGCAUGUGGCGAGGUUAACCCGUGUGGGGUAGCCGUAGCGAAAGCGAGUCCGAAUAGGGCG